AUUGAACGCUGGCGGCAGGCCUAACACAUGCAAGUCGAACGAGUGGCGGACGGGUGAGUAAUGUCUGGGAAACUGCCCGAUGGAGGGGGAUAACUACUGGAAACGGUAGCUAAUACCGCAUACCAUCGGAUGUCCCCAUAUGGUAUUAGCUAGUAGGUGGGGUAACGGCUCACCUAGGCGACGAUCCCUAGCUGGUCUGAGAGGAUGCACAGCCACACUGGAACUGAGACACGGCCCAGACUCCUACGGGAGGCAGCAGUGGGGAAUAUGGCACAAUGGGGGCAAGCCUGAUGCAGCCAUGCCGCGUGUAUGAAGAAGGCCUUAGGGUUGUAAAGUACUUUCAGCGGGGAGGCGUUACUCGCAGAAGAAGCACCGGCUAACUCCGUGCCAGCAGCCGCGGUAAUUC
rnacentral:rRNA from 1 species